GGGCCCGCACAAGCGGUGGAGUAUGUGGUUUAAUUCGAUGCAACGCGAAGAACCUUACCAGGGUUUGACAUCCUGCGAAUCUCUUGGAAACGAGAGAGUGCCUUCGGGAGCGCAGUGACAGGUGGUGCAUGGCUGUCGUCAGCUCGUGUCGUGAGAUGUUGGGUUAAGUCCCGCAACGAGCGCAACCCACGUCUUUAGUUGCCAGCAGUUCGGCUGGGCACUCUAUGGAAACUGCCCGUGAUAAGCGGGAGGAAGGUGUGGAUGACGUCAAGUCCUCAUGGCCCUUACGGGUUGGGCUACACACGUGCUACAAUGGUGGUGACAAUGGGU
rnacentral:rRNA from 1 species